GAGCAGGCCACACAUUCUUCGGCACUGUCCAGCACCAGAGCACCCCUGAUUCUCCCCAGAGAAAGCCGCAAGUUAUAUUUCCACCUUGAGUCUUUACAACUCGUCCAGGUCAGAAAAGCCCAGUCAUACAGAUCCAUGAAAGCUCCUCUGUGCAAUACUUGAGCCCACCCUCAGGUCAUCAGAAGAGCAGCUCUUUAUCUACACUGGUUAUCCCAAUAUUGGCCUAACUGGGUAAUCGGCCAAGUGAAAUUCUAUCUACCAUAGACAAAGACAUACAUAUAUUGAAUUAUUCCUCUGCUGCUCUGAACUACAGUUGCAAGUUGUGAGUCCUUUUGGGAUUACCUACUUGUAUUAAAAUGUGGUCUUGUUAAAACAAUCUGCUUAAAUAGCACACAAACAAUUGUACUUUUUGUCAGUACUAGUCACAGUCCACGUCCAAAAAGGCUGUGAUCCCUUGUACAUAAUAGCUGCUAGAACCUCCAAUUGGAGCAAUAAGCAGACUUUCAGCUUCU